rnacentral:rRNA from 1 species
UACGUAGGGGGCAAGCGUUGUCCGGAAUCAUUUGGCGUAAAGCGCGCGUAGGCGGCCCUGUAAGUCCGUUGUGAAAGUCAAAGGCUCAACCUUUGAAAGCCGAUGGAUACUGCAGGGCUAGAGUCCGGAAGAGGCGAGUGGAAUUCCUGGUGUAGCGGUGGAAUGCGCAGAUAUCAGGAGGAACACCAAUAGCGAAGGCAGCUCGCUGGGACGGUACUGACGCUAAGGCGCGAAAGCGUGGGGAGCGAACAGG